GCGAGUGCCUGAGCAAGCGCCGGCACCGAGUCACGUUCGUCCCUCCGAGGGAUGCUAGCCAGCCCCUUGCCCAGCAAAUCCAAGUAUCUCUCUCAUCAGAUGGCACUAUUAAAAGAAGGGCUCGAAUCUUGCCGAUGAUAUUUUGAAGUUGUCUGGAAGGUACCGAUAUAUCUCAGGAUGAAGAAAGGCUUGUUGCGUAGGCUUAAAGGGGUGAUAUAACUCAGUAUGCAGGAUUCACAAUCACCUGGAUACUAUAGGAAAUGCAGC